rnacentral:sRNA from 1 species
UACAACGUUCUAAGCGGCACUGUAUAAU